CAGUCGCCGCGGUAAUACGAGGGGGGCAAGCGUUGUUCGGAAUUAUUGGGCGUAAAGGGUGCGUAGGCGGUUUGGCAAGUCUUGUGUGAAAUCUUCGGGCUCAACCCGAAGCCUGCACGAGAAACUGCCGGGCUUGAGUAUUGGAGAGGUGAGUGGAAUUUCCGGUGUAGCGGUGAAAUGCGUAGAUAUCGGAAGGAACACCUGUGGCGAAAGCGGCUCACUGGACAAUAACUGACGCUGAUGCACGAAAGCUAGGGGAGCAAACAGGAUUAGAUACCCCUGUAGUCCCUGUCUCUUAUAC
rnacentral:rRNA from 1 species